rnacentral:rRNA from 1 species
UGGGGAAUUUUGGGCAAUGGGGGAAACCCUGACCCAGCAACGCCGCGUGAAGGAUGAAGUAUUUCGGUAUGUAAACUUCGAAAGAAUAGGAAGAAUAAAUGACGGUACUAUUUAUAAGGUCCGGCUAACUACGUGCCAGCAGCCGCGGUAAUACGUAGGGACCAAGCGUUGUUCGGAUUUACUGGGCGUAAAGGGCGCGUAGGCGGCAUGACAAGUCACUUGUGAAAUCUCUGGGCUUAACCCAGAACGGCCAAGUGAUACUGUCGCGCUAGAGUGCAGAAGGGGCAAUCGGAAUUCUUGGUGUAGCGGUGAAAUGCGUAGAUAUCAAGAGGAACACCUGAGGUGAAGACGGGUUGCUGGGCUGACACUGACGCUGAGGCGCGAAAGCCAGGGGAGCAAACAGGAUUAGAUACCCAAGUAGUCCCUGAGCGGGCUGGCAAGGCGCAU